GGAGAGUUUGAUCCUGGCUCAGGACGAACGCUGGCGGCGUGCCUAAUACAUGCAAGUCGUACGCUUCUUUUUCCACCGGAGCUUGCUCCACCGGAAAAAGAGGAGUGGCGAACGGGUGAGUAACACGUGGGUAACCUGCCCAUCAGAAGGGGAUAACACUUGGAAACAGGUGCUAAUACCGUAUAACAAUCGAAACCGCAUGGUUUUGAUUUGAAAGGCGCUUUCGGGUGUCGCUGAUGGAUGGACCCGCGGUGCAUUAGCUAGUUGGUGAGGUAACGGCUCACCAAGGCCACGAUGCAUAGCCGACCUGAGAGGGUGAUCGGCCACAUGAUGACGAUUUU
rnacentral:rRNA from 1 species